UGGGGAAUAUUGGACAAUGGGCGGAAGCCUGAUCCAGCCAUGCCGCGUGUGUGAAGAAGGCCUUUUGGUUGUAAAGCACUUUAAGCGAGGAGGAGGCUACUUGGAUUAAUACUCUAGGAUAGUGGACGUUACUCGCAGAAUAAGCACCGGCUAACUCUGUGCCAGCAGCCGCGGUAAUACAGAGGGUGCGAGCGUUAAUCGGAUUUACUGGGCGUAAAGCGUGCGUAGGCGGCUUCUUAAGUCGGAUGUGAAAUCCCUGAGCUUAACUUAGGAAUUGCAUUCGAUACUGGGAAGCUAGAGUAUGGGAGAGGAUGGUAGAAUUCCAGGUGUAGUGGUGAAAUGCGUAGAGAUCUGGAGGAAUACCGAUGGCGAAGGCAGCCAUCUGGCCUAAUACUGACGCUGAGGUACGAAAGCAUGGGGAGCAAACAGG
rnacentral:rRNA from 1 species